UACGGAGGAUGCAAGCGUUAUCCGGAAUGAUUGGGCGUAAAGCGUCCGCAGGUGGCUAUGUAAGUCUGCUGUUAAAGAGUGAGGCUCAACCUCAUAAAAGCAGUGGAAACUACAUGGCUAGAGUGCGUUCGGGGCAGAGGGAAUUCCUGGUGUAGCGGUGAAAUGCGUAGAGAUCAGGAGGAACACCCGUGGCGAAGGCGGCUCCCUGGUCCGUCCCUGACGCUGAGACGCGAAAGCGCGGGGAGCGAACGGG
rnacentral:rRNA from 1 species